CCCAUAGCGGAGGAAAAGAAACCAACAGGGAUUGCCCUAGUAACGGCGAGUGAAGCGGCAACAGCUCAAAUUUGAAAUCUGGCUUCGGCCCGAGUUGUAAUUUGUAGAGGAAGCUUUAGGCGCGGCACCUUCUGAGUCCCCUGGAACGGGGCGCCAUAGAGGGUGAGAGCCCCGUAUAGUUGGAUGCCUAGCCUGUGUAAAGCUCCUUCGACGAGUCGAGUAGUUUGGGAAUGCUGCUCAAAAUGGGAGGUAAAUUUCUUCUAAAGCUAAAUAUUGGCCAGAGACCGAUAGCGCACAAGUAGAGUGAUCGAAAGAUGAAAAGCACUUUGAAAAGAGGGUUAAAUAGCACGUGAAAUUGUUGAAAGGGAAGCGCUUGUGACCAGACUUGCGCCGGGCGGAUCAUCCGGUGUUCUCACCGGUGCACUCCGCCCGGCUCAGGCCAGCAUCGGUUCUCGUGGGGGGAUAAAGGCCCUGGGAACGUAGCUCCUCCGGGAGUGUUAUAGCCCAGGGUGUAAUGCCCUCGCGGGGACCGAGGUUCGCGCAUCUGCAAGGAUGCUGCUAGACGAGGAUU
rnacentral:rRNA from 1 species